AUUGGGAUAGCUGGGUUAAAUGGUGAUUCCCUUCCAAGUUUUCUGAGAAAUCUCCAUACUGCUUUCCAUAGUGGUUGUACUAAUUUGUAGUCCCACCAGCAAU
rnacentral:pre_miRNA from 1 species